UCAGGACGAACGCUGGCGGCGUGCCUAAUACAUGCAAGUCGAACGGUCUUUCUAUGGAAGCUUGCUUCCACUGAGAAGAUAGUGGCGAACGGGUGAGUAACACGUGGGUAACCUGCCCAUAAGAGGGGGGAUAACAUCCGGAAACGGGUGCUAAUACCGCAUAGUUUUCUUGAUCGCAUGAUUGAGAAAGGAAAGACGGCCUUUGUGCUGUCGCUUAUGGAUGGACCCGCGGCGUAUUAGUUAGUUGGUGAGGUAACGGCUCACCAAGACGAUGAUACGUAGCCGACCUGAGAGGGUGAUCGGCCACAUUGGGACUGAGACACGGCCCAAACUCCUACGGGAGGCAGCAGUAGGGAAUCUUCCGCAAUGGACGAAAGUCUAACGGAGCAACGCCGCGUGAGUGAAGAAAGGUUUUCGGAUCGUAAAACUCUGUUGUCAGAGAAGAACAAGUUGGAGAGUAACUGCUCCAGCCUUGACGGUAUCUGACCAGAAAGCCACGGCUAACUACGUGCCAGCCGCUGC
rnacentral:rRNA from 1 species